GAACUCUGGCGGCGCGCCUAACACAUGCAAGUCGAACGAGAGAUGAGGAGCUUGCUCUUCAAAUCGAGUGGCGAACGGGUGAGUAACGCGUGAGGAACCUGCCCCAAAGAGGGGGACAACAGUUGGAAACGACUGCUAAUACCGCAUAAGCCCACGGCUCGGCAUUGAGCAGGGGGAAAAGGAGCAAUCCGCUUUGAGAUGGCCUCGCGUCCGAUUAGCUAGUUGGUGAGGUAACGGCCCACCAAGGCGACGAUCGGUAGCCGGACUGAGAGGUUGAACGGCCACAUUGGGACUGAGACACGGCCCAGACUCCUACGGGAGGCAGCAGUGGGGAAUAUUGCACAAUGGGGGAAACCCUGAUGCAGCGACGCCGCGUGGAGGAAGAAGGUCUUCGGAUUGUAAACUCCUGUUGUUGAGGAAGAUAAUGACGGUACUCAACAAGGAAGUGACGGCUAACUACGUGCCAGCAGCCGCGGUAAAACGUAGGUCACAAGCGUUGUCCGGAAUUACUGGGUGCAAAGGGAGCGCAGGCGGGAGAACAAGUUGGAAGUGAAAUCCAUGGGCUCAACCCAUGAACUGCUUUCAAAACUGUUUUUCUUGAGUAGUGCAGAGGUAGGCGGAAUUCCCGGUGUAGCGGUGGAAUGCGUAGAUAUCGGGAGGAACACCAGUGGCGAAGGCGGCCUACUGGGCACCAACUGACGCUGAGGCUCGAAAGUGUGGGUAGCAAACAGGAUUAGAUACCCUGGUAGUCCACACCGUAAACGAUGAUUACUAGGUGUUGGAGGAUUGACCCCUUCAGUGCCGCAGUUAACACAAUAAGUAAUCCACCUGGGGAGUACGACCGCAAGGUUGAAACUCAAAGGAAUUGACGGGGGCCCGCACAAGCAGUGGAGUAUGUGGUUUAAUUCGACGCAACGCGAAGAACCUUACCAAGUCUUGACAUCCCUUGACGAUGCUGGAAACAGUAUUUCUCUUCGGAGCAAGGAGACAGGUGGUGCAUGGUUGUCGUCAGCUCGUGUCGUGAGAUGUUGGGUUAAGUCCCGCAACGAGCGCAACCCUUAUGGUCAGUUACUACGCAAGAGGACUCUGGCCAGACUGCCGUUGACAAAACGGAGGAAGGUGGGGAUGACGUCAAAUCAUCAUGCCCUUUAUGACUUGGGCUACACACGUACUACAAUGGCGUUAAACAAAGAGAAGCAAGACCGCGAGGUGGAGCAAAACUCAGAAACAACGUCCCAGUUCGGACUGCAGGCUGCAACUCGCCUGCACGAAGUCGGAAUUGCUAGUAAUCGUGGAUCAGCAUGCCACGGUGAAUACGUUCCCGGGCCUUGCACA
rnacentral:rRNA from 1 species